UGAGAUGAGAUGGAGGAGGAGGAAGAAGACGGAGACAAAAUUGGGUAAAGAAUAGCAGGAUACUUUCUUUAAUUGAUUUGGUACGCUGUCUAUUGAAUCAACUCACUUAAGAUCUAACGGUCAUCACAAUUUUAUCCUUUUUUGUCCCUCGUACUCCCUGUACUGGAACUCAGCAGUACUCCCUCGCCAACGCCACUCGUACUCCCUGAUGUCAGAAGCCAACGCCACUCGUACUCCCUGUACUGGAACUCAGCAGGGGUACCAGAACGUGCGUUCCCGUUCCUGACUCCCAGGAGGAUAUUGUAAGUCAUUUUACGUUUUUAAAUUUUAAAUUUUAAAUUUAUAUAUAUGUGAAAAUGUUAAUUAAUUAUUUUUUUCCUAUCCAAUUAGGCGAAGGUGAGGGAGGCUAGUGACGAGGUGAUGAGUGCUAUAGUGAGGGAGACAUGGCCGGACACGCAGGAGGAAGAGAUGUCCGAAGCCAUGUCCCGGAUCGACACUUCGGAUCCGACGAUUGGGGCGAGGAUCAUGGGCACAGCCUUCCCACCGAGAGCAAACAACUUCUACUGCCGGGGUCUAGGAAAGAAAGGCGAGGGGGUCCUGAAGACCACUCCAGGAUUUCAAAGAAAGGCAGCAUCGACCAGCAGCAGGACCACGUCCACGAUCACCAGGACGACUCAGCUAGAGUCGGAAGUUCAGAGACUACGAGAACAGCAA
rnacentral:lncRNA from 1 species